UGGGGCAGGGCUGCUUACUGUGGAGCAGCAGGUCCAUGUCUCUGUUACUCAGCAUCUGGGACACAGCCUGGGGGAAGUAGCAGAUGGUGUAACCUGUGAAAAAUGGGGUGCAGCUGGCCAGUGGGUAGAGGCUCUGAUCUCUUUGGGGGCCCAGACCGCUCCUGCUCUUCCUCAGCCCCAAGCCCCCUCACCCACCUCUCUCCCUCUUGCUGGUGGGUGGGUCAGGGUGGGUGUAGGUCAGGGUAGGCCUGGGGGUCUCCAAGCCUGGCCUGCUCUCAGCCCACCUAUGAAGAGCAUUGCCCAGGUCUUCAUGUGGUGGUGGCAGCUGUACAGGUACUUGAGGGCCUGUGCCAGGUGGAUGCUGAACUCUUCCUGGCUGCGGGUCAUCUGGUGGGAAGACAGCCACCUGUCACUGCCUGGGGCUGGGCCUGGAGGGGCCACUGAUCUCCAGCCAUGCCCCACCCCCCAGCCCUCAGAGAAAACAGGGUCCAGCCAGCCUGGCCUCACCACACCCUGACCCUCACCAGGCAGGUCCAGAGGAAGUGGGGCACUGAGGCUGCGCUCCCAGGCCAGGGUGCAGAAGAGGAUGUGCCUCGGCUGCCAGCAUAGCAGGGCAGCACAGUGGUAGAAGGCAAAUUUGGACUGCUGUGGGGACAGCCACAGGAGGGUCACUCACUGCCUAGGGUGAACAUCGGUUCCCCCCUACUCCCCAGCUCAUGUGUGCAUCUGAGGUGGUCUGCCGUGCUGGUGUUCAGGGGAGCACUUUCCCUCCCUGCCCAGAUGCCCGUGUGCAGCUCUGCUUGGGAACAGCAGGCCCCAUGCAAGUUGAGCACGAGGCAGGGAGGGUUCUGAAUUCCAGAAAGUUCAGGGUGUGGCCAAGCCCUACCUGUGCUUGCUAAGAGGAACCAAUAGUGAGCUGAACAGACAGCAGACAGUCUGGCUCACAAGACAGCAGAGUCCUACCUGUGUGUGUGUGUGCCUUGGGAAGGGGCUGUGGUCUGGUGCUGGCCUAGGGAGCCCCUUACUCUGCCACCUGUCUGCUCAGCCCCCCGGGCAAGGUGAAGCCCUGUCAGCCUGCCUCGCCGCCGUGAGUACUGACCAUGACGACGGCUGGGCAUUGGUCCUUCAGGUGCAGAAGCAGGGGCACCAUGCUCUGGCACACCUGGGUUUGAAGGUCACUGAGCUUCCCACCUGCCAUCGUGGCCACCAGGUCCCCGAACAGUGCCAUGGCUGCUGCUCGAAUCUGGUCCUGCUCCUGUAAGGCAGGUCUCAGAGGGGGCCCAUCUCUUGCCUGACUUGGUACCCAGCCCACUGGCUUCUUUCUGCAGGGUCCUUUGGCCAGGCCUGGGUCUCCCAGUGCAGAGCUAAGCCUACCUCUCAGACAAAACUCCAGGGCAAGGCCAGACCUCCCUCUCAGACAAGGUUCCCAGGCCAUCUCCCAGGUCAACCUCAAAGACUUGAAAUCAUUCUCUUUGAUACCCACAGUAUGUAAGUGUCACGAAAGGAGCUUAGGGGAGGGUUUAAUCCCCUCUGUUUCCAGUAAAGAAAAAGUAGUUCCUCUAAAUGAGACCCCAUGUCAGCCAUAAGGGUAAGAGAUUUGUGGGGCAGUUGUAGGAUCUGAGAUUGAGGGUCAGAAAUUGGAUUUGGCAGUGUUCAGCCAUGAGAAGGAGCCGAGCGCCACCUGGUGGACACUCGGUCAACCCGGGUCCGUCUGCCCGAAGUUAAGGUCAGCUGCAGCCCAGAGCUAUGAGGGAGGCACCCCAGCCCGCCCUGUCCCCGGGCCUACGUCGUCAAAGAAAAUGUGGACUUUGAUGGCGACACUGAGGCUCUGGGCGCCUGCACCCUGGAUGCCCAGUUGGUGCAGCACUUCCGACACGGUGUUCAUGAUGCCCACGACCACCAGCUCACUCUUCUGGAAGAAGCCUUCAAGGAAGUGCGGCAGCUGCGCACGGAGCAGGCUUUCCUGCGGGCAGGGGGGCGGUGGGUGGCGGGCCCAGGACCUGCUCCUCUGGCCCCCUUUGCCUGCCCUGCACCCACAUCCCAGACCAACUGCGGUCCUCCUGCCCCACCCUGUGGCCAUGGCUUCAGAGCUGUCGAUCCCGCCCACCUCUACCCACCGGACCAUGUGGCCUUGGACAGGGUUUCCUCUCCUCACCACCGGGGGAUCUUGAGGAGGUAAAGGAGAGAUAUGGAUGCACAGGGCCCUCGGUACUACUUGGAUCCCAGCUCCUUCCUAUUCUCAGGCCUAGAACACCCCUGCCUUCAUCCCAUUUCCAGGCUUGCCCUGGGUCUGGUGGGGUCUGAGUCUGGACCAGGGAAAAGCUGGUCAUGUUGUACGUACUGAAGUCACUAGUUCCUCUCAUAACUGGGAUUUUCUGUGCACUAGGCGGUAGCUUCAGACCUUUUGUGUUGCAAGUGACGGUUAUGUUCCAUUUUUACACUUUUUGCUUUAAACAUUCUUUUUGAAUUUAUUUCCAGCCAGUUCUGUCUGCUCCAUUUGUUUGCACUGCAUUCCUGAAUUCUCAGCUGCAUUGUCAGAAAGUAGGGUGGAUUUUCCUGCCAUUGGCCCCUUGUCAAUGACUUGUGUGCAGAUCAAGGAGGGAGCUAGUGUUCCAGCUAUGGACAGGACCGGCAGAAGGGAAUUCUAGUGGGAAGGGCCAGAAAAGAGGCCAAACAUGCAUAAUAAGAUGAUGGCACCAAGUCCUGGAGAGAAAAGACUGGCCCUGAUCAAGGUCUUGCCUGGGAACAGAAGCAUUGCUACCUGGUCUGAGAGCAAUGCCCUGUGAGACUUGGGGAAGGGAGGCAAUAUCAGGGCUUCCCCAACACAUCAGUGACCACAAUGACCCUCUGUUUCCUGUCCUUGAUGGUCUUCAGGCCCAGUGUUGGAUGAAGGGGCUCGAUGGGGCAGGGUGGGGAAUGCCAUAGCAGGAUAGCAGAAAGAGCACCACCCUAAGCACUAUGGCAGACUCAGCACCCUGAAGGCCCAGGAAGGCCAUCACAGUCCCAUCUGGUCCCUGCUGGAUGGGCACACCAGCUCAUAGGACUCCAGGAGAUUGUAAGUGGGUCACUGCCUGGAAAGAGUAGGAUCUCUGAAGUCAGAGGGUCUAGGCUCAAGUUCCAGGUCCACUCUUCACUGUCUGUAUGACCAUGUAGAAGUCACUUAUCCCCUCUGGGGCUCAGAGUAUGUGUGUGUGGGGGAACAGUUGGCUCACAAGGCUGGAGCAAGGAGGAUCCUUGCUGAGCUUGAGUGUCUGGGGAGGUGUGUUUCUAUUCUGCCCCUCAGGGGCUCCUGCCUUUCAGUCUGCACAUUUGUGUUGAGGGGCAUCUGGCCUGCAUGUUCCAGGGGACUGAGUCAGGGCAGAAUCAGCAAAGUCCCUUGCCUUUUGGGUGAGGAUGGCAGGAAAGGGUCACUCAGUGGCCCAGGGACAGACAACCCAGGAUGGUUGCACAUCUGUGUGGCCAUGGACAGAAAGAGAAGCUGGUGUCAUGGAGUAGAGGCCGUGGAGUGCAGGAGAGGGCAGGAGUCAUGACUUGUUGGCCAUGGCACAGGUUAUAGUGUUGCCUGUGAAAUAAAUUGGUGGAAGGGUCUGAAUAGGGAGUGUCAUGACUGUGUGUGGUGAUCUGUCCAAGACUCUUCCUCUGGCAGCUGGGUGAAUAUGGGCAGGACACUCUGGGUGGCAGCUGCUGACUUCCUGGACUGGGGUGGUUGGUGAUGUUGGGGAGAAUUUCCUAGGGGCUGGGAGGUGAUGUUGGGAAGGAAUCAGGGUGACUUUAGACCUCUGCAUGGCUAGGUAUGCCUGGGGAGUGUGGCAGGUGUGGGUUCUAGAUGGUCAGGAGUGGCCUGGGGAUGUCCCUGUAAUGAGGAUGUGGCCUGAAGGUGUUCCUGUGACAGGGUGUGGCCUGGGAUGUUCCUGUAAUAGAGCAUGGCCUGGGACUGUUCCAUAUGAAGGGCUGUUAGACAUUCAUAGGCUACCAGCUGGUACGUGGGGUGUGGGGAGUUUGGGCCACAUGUGAACACUGUAUGGUAUCAGCACUUGGGGGACCUCUAAAGCCCUAGAAUGAAUGUGAUCCUCAUGGCAAUGAGUUGAGCUGAUGAUGAGGUCUGAGGGUUACCCUACUGUCCCAGGGCUAAGAAACUAGGGAGAUGAGGGAGCUAGUGGAGGAGAGGGUACAAGAAUGGAUAGGUGAUGUGAACCAGGAGCCUGUGCUCGUGGAGAUCAAGGGAGAAGGCUGCCAGGAGGAGAGUGUUGCUGGCUAAUCCAGAUCUGCUGACAGGUCACAUGAAGGGGGACAGAGACUGACCAUUAGACCUGGCAGUGUGAAGUUCCUGGUGAUCUUUAUGAGAACAGGUUGAUUUCCAUCAUCGUAGAGAAAGUCUGACUGAGGCAGGUUUAAGGGAUAUAGGAGCCACAACCCAGCAACAAAAGGGCAAAUAUGCCAAUUCAGAAAGGGACAAAGGGAUUAAACAGGCAAUUUUCCAAAAAAGACCACAAAUAGCUGAGAGGCACAUGGAAAGAUGCUCAGCACCAUCAGUCAUCCGGGAAGUGCAAAUUGAAACUACAACGUGUCACUGCACACCUACUAGGAUGGUCAUAGUCCAAGAAAUGACAAAUAGCAAGUGGUGGUGGGGCUGUAGAGAAGCUGAAAUGCUUGGAUGCUGCUUCUGGGGACAAAAGGGGGCAGCAGCUGUGGAAAUCCACAUCACACUUCCUCAGAAAGCAGAACCCAGUACUUUUACAUAGCCCAGCAACCUCAUAGACAGGUUUGUACCCAAAAUGAUUGAAGGGACUGGAGCAUAUACUGUUGUCCCUUGGUUUCUUCAGGCAUUGGUUUCAGGAUCUCUUUCAGAUAUCAAAAUUUAAGGAUGCUCAUAUCCCUUACAUAAAAUGGCACAGUACACAUAUAUAACAUUCACACAUUCUCCUGUGUGAGACUAUGUAGAAUACCAUAGUACAAUGUCAAUGCUAUGUAAAUAGUUGUUAUACUGUGUUGUUUAAAGAAUAAUUACAGUAAAAAAGUCACAAUACAAAGAUUUUGUUCCUAUUUCUCCAUUUUCUCAUACUAAUUCCAUUCCCUUCUUUCCUUUCCCCCACCCCUCCCACUUCCCCUUCCCCUUUGCCCCCUUUCUUCCUAUUUCACAUUAUCUAUUAUACCUUUUAGUCCUUAUUUACACUUUCAGUUUCUCACACCAGAGAAACUAUUCGGUAUUUACACGUGUGUCCUAUUUAUUUCACUUAAAAGUAUCACCUCAAUAUGCAUCCACUUAGCUAUAAAAAUAGGAACAAAAUCUUUGUAAAUAGGGAGGAAUGGAAGGGUUGAAGGGAGGCCUGGGCAAGGGUGAAAAAUAACCAAGAGAGAUUAUGUAAAGGUGCAAAUUUCCAAUGAUGAAUGUCAUUAUAUUGUAUACCUAAAAUGUACCAAUGAUUAGAAUGAAUAAUCGAUAAUACAAAAUAGGAAGAAAAGGUCCAAAGGGGUAGGGGUAGUGGGAGGGGCAGGGGAAAGGAAAGAAGGGGAAGGAAAAAAGAUGAGAAAUGGAAAAAA
ensembl:lncRNA